AGAGGUCAUGAUAGAGUAGUAGGGUAUCGUGUAUAUGUAGUAGUGAUCUCUUAUAUAU
rnacentral:guide_RNA from 1 species